UACGUAGGGUCCGAGCGUUGUCCGGAAUUAUUGGGCGUAAAGGGCUCGUAGGCGGUUUGUCACGUCGGGAGUGAAAACUUGGGGCUUAACCCCAUUCGUGCUUCCGAUACGGGCAGACUAGAGGCAGGCAGGGGAGAACGGAAUUCCUGGUGUAGCGGUGGAAUGCGCAGAUAUCAGGAGGAACACCGGUGGCGAAGGCGGGUCUCUGGGCAGUAACUGACGCUGAGGAGCGAAAGCGUGGGGAGCGAACAGG
rnacentral:rRNA from 1 species